rnacentral:rRNA from 1 species
UACGUAGGGGACAAGCGUUGUCCGGAAUUAUUGGGCGUAAAGGGCUCGUAGGCGGUUUGUCGCGUCUGCUGUGAAAACUCGGGGCUUAACCCCGGGCCUGCAGUGGGUACGGGCAGACUAGAGUGCGGUAGGGGAGACUGGAAUUCCUGGUGUAGCGGUGAAAUGCGCAGAUAUCAGGAGGAACACCGGUGGCGAAGGCGGGUCUCUGGGCCGUAACUGACGCUGAGGAGCGAAAGCGUGGGGAGCGAACAGG